rnacentral:rRNA from 1 species
UACGAAGGGGGCUAGCGUUGCUCGGAAUCACUGGGCGUAAAGGGCGCGUAGGCGGCCUGUUAAGUCGAACGUGAAAUCCCCGGGCUCAACCCGGGAACUGCGUCCGAUACUGGCAGGCUUGAAUCCGGGAGAGGGAUGCGGAAUUCUAGGUGUAGCGGUGAAAUGCGUAGAUAUCUGGAGGAACACCGGUGGCGAAGGCGGCAUCCUGGACCGGCAUUGACGCUGAGGCGCGAAAGCCAGGGGAGCAAACGGG